GGUAGAUAACAGUCCCCUUUCACAUUCUAACACAGGAUUGAGAUUUCUUAACAAAGGCAAUAGAGUUGCAAAACAGCAUGACUUAGUUGCAGUUGGUAAUUAAUGAGGUGCUAAAAGUGCCUAAACAGAGGAUCCCAGACAGAGAAUGCAUGACUCAAGAGAAUAAGAAACCCCCAUCCUUUCAAACAACAGUGUCAUUUAAAUAAACAAGAGGCGAGUCCCCCGGUCCGGUGUGGUGGGAAGGAUGCGGUCAUCACAGAGGCCUCAGCAGCAGCAUGCGGAAUGCCUGCCCCCAGGAAACGGGUGUGCUCUCCGCCGGCUGAAGGCAGAGCCUUCAGGGAGAGAGAUGUCAGUCUAUAGAUCUGGAACAGUGGGUUUGAAGCUCUCCUUGGUGAUUUGCUCAUCUCACUACGCUACGUGUCAGGAGAACAGGUAUGGAGUUUUCUGUGCAACGUGGAACUAGGAUGGAUCAGGCAGAAAUUGGAGCUGGAUAAGUUUUCAGUGGUACAGGCAUUGCAAGGUAUAAGCAGAAAAGCCACAGGAAGCCUAACACAGCAUGAAUGUUACUCGAUGAACCCUGACAUGACAGUGGGAUGCUGGAGGACAAGGAUUUUAAGUCUUGAUUCUGUAAGUAAUGAGAAAAAGCAUGAAGAACAGUUCCAGGAGGGAAGGAGAAGGAAGACUGUACUGUGUAUUCUGCUCUGUUGUCCUUUCAUAUUGAUAGCCCAGCUUCCAAACUACUACUCCAGUUUUAUGGAACGUGGAUGUCCUGCCUACUAGGAAUAACUUCAGUUAUCUUCUGUUGAUGUCUGGAGAUGGGAACAGAUGCAAACAUAGAGAGAAACAGAUACUUCAGUGCCAGAAACACUAAAGGCAGUUACAGAAGUCUCAAGGACAAAGGUCUCUUCAACUUUAUGUGCUCUGCUUCGUGAUCCCAUUGCCGCUGAUAGUGCGCUGGGAAGUGACAGAACGUCCACAGGCUGAAAACAAAACCUCCAGAAGUGUGCAAGCUGCUGAGACCGGAUUCCUCUGUCCCUGUUUGCCUCCCUUUCCACCAUAUGAUGGUGUUCAGGAGGAUCGUGGCAGUGAUGGGGAUAGUGGCAAACAGCAAGAGCAUCCUGUUCCUUCUUCCACUGCCUCCAAAUAGUAGUAAAAUGCAUUAAUUAUGCAACAUCCUCGGGAGUAAAUAUUGUAAAUUAAUGUACCAUUAGAUUUGUUAUACUUCAGAUACUAAUAGCUUCUGUUACAAAGUACAUUAAAACCCACAGCAGUAAUGUCUGCGGCAGCCUGGAUAUCAGUAAGCUCAUAUUACAUUUAUAACAACAGCUUUUCUUCUGUUUCCUUUUUUGUAUAGAAUAUGUUUGACGCUUUAUUUUUGUAUUGUGGUUCAG
ensembl:lncRNA